GUUCUUUCUCGGACCGGAAGCGGGAAGUGCUGGCCAGGCAGUGGGUGGUCAAGUGACCCUUGGGACCUGUGAGAGGUGAUUUAAGUUCUUGGUCUUCAAACUGAGGGUCGUUUGUGCUGUUCAUCCUUUCAUCAGUCACCAGUAUCUGCCCUAUGCCAAGCCUCAGGGUAAUGCCAGAGACAGGAAGGAAAGAGAUGUGGCUUCUGCCCAACGUAACUCAAAGACAGAAGAGGCAGAUCCAUAAACAACUGUCUCUCACUAAAGCACCAAACAAGAAGUACUAGACAAAAAUGAAUGCAGCCAUGCUGGUUAGAGCUCCAAGAGAGAAGCAAUUAUUUCUGACCAGGGAAUUGAAGUAUUUUGUAAUGAUGUUAGCCCCCCGCUGCCAAAAACAUAAAAUAAAAUAAAACAUCAGAAGAAAA